rnacentral:misc_RNA from 1 species
CCCAUCGCUAGCCUGUCGAGCACGAGGAAUUUGUUGUAUACUCGUCUAGUGGUAAUAGGACACACCUUCGCGACACGGCUAUUCAGUAUAUAAAUAGCUGACGGAGAAUGACGAUCGAGUGUUUUACGUAUACUCGGUACUAGAUCUGGAUGUAAGGAGGAAGUCCCCGGGCUCCCGGGAAUCCAUCGGGUCGUACACAGGUAUUAGCGAGGCUUGAUGUAUAGCCAUGGAAGAUACGGAGAAAAACGGGACUGUGGUCGUGGAUAUCCCUCAGGACCUACCCCUAGACAUGCUUCCCCCGAUCGUAGGUCGCAUGGAGCUCGACCUUCCUGAUGAUAGGAGGAGUAACACGAGUCGGCGUUCCAGUCUGCCCCCUCCACCAGACUCUCAUCUACCUCUGGAGGAGGGCAACACCAACGUGCCCCCAUCAACACGCUUCCAACGCUGCCGAUGGAAGGUCAGAGCGCUUGUCGAACACCUUCUUUUCCGCCUUUUCACCGUCAUCCUCAUCCUCGUGGACAUCUCCCUAGUCAUCGUCGAUUUCUGUGCCACCCUAGACGAAUCGACGUCACAAAAAAUUACCAUCACAUCACGAGCCAUAAUCAUAUACUUCGUUGUGGAGAUCAUACUUCGAAUAUUCGCAAAAGGCAUCGAUUUUUUCAAGAAUUGUUUUGAUGUGACAGACAUGGUUAUAGUACUAGCUACUUUCAUCAUAGACAUGGCGCUGAGUAACUAUGGCAGAUGGGGGGUCGUCGGUCGUACCUUACGUAUCAUCCGUAUCGGCCGAAGCGUAGUCAUCAUGGUCGGGCAGUACCGUCACGUGAUCACAGCCACAAGGAAGACAGUAUCACAAAACAAACGACGGUAUCUCAAGGACGGAUUUGACCUUGACCUUUGUUACAUCACAGAGCGGGUGAUCGCAAUGUCGUUUCCAUCGUCAGGGGUACGGAAGAUGUACCGAAACCCUAUCAACGAAGUGGCCAGGUUCCUCAACACCAAACACCCAGACCACUACAAGGUGUAUGACUUGUGUAGUGAACGAAAUUACCCGACCGAACUGUUCCACGACAGGGUAGAGAGAGUUUACAUAGACGAUCACAACGUCCCAACACUAGAAGACCUGGUGAAGUUCUGUGACGAUGUGCGGGUGUUCCUGUCUGAGGACGACACCAACGUGAUCGCUGUCCACUGUAAAGGUGGUAAAGGGCGGACCGGAACCAUGAUCUGUACCUGGCUGGUCGACUGUGAAAUGUUCGAGGAGGCGGAAAAAAGCCUGGACUACUUUGGGGGGAGGCGAACUGACUUGUCGGUAGGGAAAACCUUCCAGGGUGUGGAAACUCCCAGUCAGAGCCGGUAUGUCGGUUACUAUGAGAAAGUGAAGAAGGACUAUGACAAUGAGAUUCCCGCCAUCGUCAAAUUGAAGAUAACCACCGUUACGAUCACCGGUAUCAAAACUGUAGGGAAGGGCGAUGGAUCCGACCUAUCCAUGGCUAUCUUCCUCGGACGAGAACAGGCCUUCAACUGUAACUUUGGCAAGGGAAAGAACUGCGAGCUAACACAUGACAAAGACAACAACAGAAUAGAGGUGAUGCUGUGUAACUGCCCUAUAUUAGUAGAGGACACCAAGGUCAGGUUCACGUCUUCAGCAGUCACUGUACCGAAGGGGUACGAUAACUGCGCUUUCUACUUCUGGUUCCAUUCGGCAUUCAUCCAUAACAACAGAUUGCUUAUACCACGUGAUGAACUUGAUAACCCUCACAAGAAGAAAGUCCACAAGAUUUUUACAGAGGAGUUUUCCGUUAUGCUAAGCUUUGAGGAUGUAACGUGAGGAUUAUAGUUCUUAGUCAUCUUUCAUCCUGGUAGAAUGUGAAUACCACAAAGGCUGAACAAAUAGAUUCUUUAGGUACAGGGGACAGGUCUAAAAGUGACCACUGACAGAUCAACGACCAAAUGUGGACGAGUGUCAAUACGUUCAUUGGCCGAAAUACUUACUACAGACGAAAAUACAUUGUGAUUCAUGACUUUGAUCCAUUACAUGAUUUUUUUGUAUGCAUGUUGUUAAAAGUUUGUGAGAUUGACUUUAGCACUUUUCCAUUUUUACGUAUUUCCACUUUUCUCAUUCCCGAAUAAUUCAAAUGACUCGUGCUUAUUGUGUUAACCAGUUUUCUCCAUACUGUUUUCCAAUUUAAAAAACUGAUGUCAUUAUUCGAAUCUGCAGAUUCAGAUCAAAAGGAGAAAGUGUUUACUUCUUGCAUUUGUUUUCCAGAUUUUAACAAAUGUAUCAUUAUCUUAGUUAUUAUUUUAUGUUGAGUAGUUCUAAUAUUUAUAAGUUGACCUCCAAUAUGGAGAGCAUUCCAUUGCUCUUUACCUUUAUUCUUGACAGACGGUGGAUUGCUGUAGUAAAUGUUUUUUUAUUGUAUAACAAUGUGUCUUCAUUUGAUCGAGUUGAAUGUGACAUUAAUCACUUUAACAUCUCCUUUGUAAUGCCGAAAUAUUUAUAUUUUGACUACUAAAGUUUAUCUCUAUAUUUUCUAUAUGUAAGUUAUUUGUAUUUCCGCCGUAAUUUGCUCAAGAUAAAUGUCAACCAUACUGAUAUAGGUUAAGGGGAAGUAAUUAAUUUUAUCAGUAUCUACGGAGGAAAUUCAGAUGGUUUCAUUUAUCAAAUACAUAAUUAUGAUUGACAUUUCAGUCCAGGAGAUAUUUCAUUCUAUAACUAGAGUACGAUAAAUGCACUAUCUCAGUAAUUAUAUGUAAUAGGUCACAUCAGGUAUUGUACUGUCAAUACGUAUAUACAAUAGACAUAACGACCACGUUGAAAACUUGACAAUUGUGGUGAAAUGUCGCUUUCAUCUUUUGUUAUUUCAUAAGAAGAUAAUUUGUUUCCGUUCAAUAAAAAGAAGUAAGAACUUAGUAGUGCCAUUCCUCCUAAUCUUAGCAUGUUCUCGCUAAAACGAAACUUUCCAUGUUGUUGGAUUUUUUUUUAUUUAUGUUGUACGGAAUCUGUUUGUCACUUACUAUAUUUUACUGCUACGAGAAUAUCCUGUGGAAAUGGACGUUUGCUUACUAUACAACAGAUCUUUUUAGAGAUAUCUUGAGACAAGGCUAAAGGCUAAAUUAUAUUCCAAACAAAUUAUAAUAAAAUUCAAUUCUGUAUAUGAUAAAUAUGGAAAUCGGAAAAAACAAGCUGGUCCAUUAUAUGAAGUCCUUGCCUGAUUCAAUAUACUAAAAUUUUUUUUUUUAGAGACAUAUAAUAAUUUCCCAAAAGGCAAAAGAACAAGCACGGAAAGCGUGACAUAUUAGCUUUACCUGAAUUACAUACUCAGUUUGAUAUAUUAUACUAACUCGGUAGUUACGGAGUUUCUAAUUUAUCACGGUCGGUAGACGUACGUUUUUAUGUUGGCAUCAAAUUGUCUCUGCCUUUGCACUUUAAGUUUUAUUUAAAUGUUAACUAACAAUAAAGCCCAUAUUGUUAAAAUGAAACGUGAUAGAUGUUGUUGAAUUGUUUCCUUCAUCAAAUGGUAGAACAGUCAUUCUUUGCGGCUAGUAUUUUCUAUGGUUACUGGUGCCGUCAAGUAUUUUCUAUGGUUACCGGUGCCGUCAAGUAUUUUCUAUGGUUACUGGUGCCGUCAAGUAUUUGCCAUGGUUACCGAUGCCGUCAAGCGAUGAAUGCCGAACGGAAACGAUUCGGAGACCCUCCAAUUACUCUUACAGUAGGAUGGAAAGUUCCAAACCAUUUCCGAAUGUCAAAAAUUCAGAUGUAAUAGUUCUUGCUGUUUUACAUGGUAGGCAUUAUCUUUCUUUUGUUUUAAGAAUUUCAAUAUCCGAUGUUAUUAAUUUAAAUCGUCAAAAAGUAAAAUCUUGAAAACAUAAAUUUCUACCAGUUUGUUGAUGUAUUACGGUUAUAUGGUACAAAAAGAGAUAUUCAAAUCUUCAAACAACUUGUUACCAACCGUAAGUCGUAAACUUGAGCUAUUUAGCAGGUAGCUUGGUUGGUUAAUGUGCUAACAAUAAAUGCCAUUUAGAUGUAUCUUGCCAAGGGCCAAAUUCGCUAUCCUACAGGUCAAAUAUUUUUCCUGUAUGAGUUAUUUAAGUACCUAACCUAAGUAAGAAGUAACUUAGUUUUAGAAUUAUAAUAUUCAGUACUUGUAAUCUUCUAGUCAUUGUGUCACAGCUCGAUCAUGUUACACAUUGAAUCAGUUCAAAUGUAACGUAUAUGUGACGUGAAAACGAGAUAAAUAGCUGUAUAGAAAGGAAUGUCAAACAUUACAAAAAAUGUAUAUAUCUCUAGGUAAUGACACUUUUUUAUCUACUUAAUAAAAGGGAUUUCAAUCGUAGUCAAGAUGAAACAUUUCUAUGUUCAAUCAUGGAAGAAAAAAGUUUAGUUGUAUCCCCUUGCUUGUAUGAAUUCCCAAUCUUGUAUGUGGUUUUCAUCUUCUUUGCUGCAACAUUUUGAUUUAGGGAUUAAUCUAGACGUAAACCUAACGCGUUCGACUUUAAGUUCACGUAUGUCAGUUAUUAGUCUUGAUUGAACCAAUUUAAACAAUUCGAUUCACAUAGUAUUGAUUUCUAUUUGAGGGAAACAAGUUAACAUCCCUUUUUUCUCUUAACUGUUAAUACAAGCGGUUCCCUUGUACACGUGACACUUCCCGUUCAAAUUUAAGUGGUUUGUUUAUUACUGACCUUGAGUUCUUCCGAUGCUUUCUCUUGAAUUGACCAUUUUAACUUCGGUUUUUAAUUAUAUUUUAGGUGUUAACAAAUUUUACAAUUUUUUACUAUUUGUGA